GAUGAAGAACGUAGCGAAAUGCGAUAAGUAGUGUGAAUUGCAGAAUUCAGUGAAUCAUCGAAUCUUUGAACGCACAUUGCGCCCCUUGGUAUUCCAUGGGGCAUGCCUGUUCGAGCGUCAUUUGUACCUUCAAGCUCUGCUUGGUGUUGGGUGUUUGUCUCGCCUCUGCGUGUAGACUCGCCUCAAAACAAUUGGCAGCCGGCGUAUUGAUUUCGGAGCGCAGUACAUCUCGCGCUUUGCACUCAUAACGACGACGUCCAAAAGUACAUUUUUACACUCUUGACCUCGGAUCAGGUAGGGAUACCCGCUGAACUUAAGCAUAUCGAUAAGCGGAGGA
rnacentral:misc_RNA from 1 species